GAUGAACGCUGGCGGCGUGCCUAAUACAUGCAAGUCGAGCGAACGGACGAGAAGCUUGCUUUUCUGAUGUUAGCGGCGGACGGGUUAGUAACACGUGGAUAACCUACCUAUAAGACUGGGAUAACUUCGGGAAACCGGAGCUAAUACCGGAUAAUAUUUUGAACCGCAUGGUUCAAAAGUGAAAGACGGUCUUGCUGUCACUUAUAGAUGGAUCCGCGCUGCAUUAGCUAGUUGGUAAGGUAACGGCUUACCAAGGCAACGAUGCAUAGCCGACCUGAGAGGGUGAUCGGCCACACUGGAACUGAGACACGGUCCAGACUCCUACGGGAGGCUGCAGUAGGGAAUCUUCCGCAAUGGGCGAAAGCCUGACGGAGCAACGCCGCGUGAGUGAUGAAGGUCUUCGGAUCGUAAAACUCUGUUAUUAGGGAAGAACAUAUGUGUAAGUAACUGUGCACAUCUUGACGGUACCUAAUCAGAAAGCCACGGCUAACUACGUG
rnacentral:rRNA from 1 species